GGUAGGAGAGCGUCGUAACCGGGCUGAAGUCGUACCGUAAGGAGCGGUGGACUGGUUACGAGUGAGAAUGUUGGCAUCAGUAGCGAGAUGUGGGUGAGAAUCCCACAGGCCGAAAACCUAAGGUUUCCUCAGGAAGGUUCGUCCGCUGAGGGUUAGUCGGGACCUAAGCCGAGGCCGAAAGGCGUAGGUGAUGGACAACUGGUUGAUAUUCCAGUACCACUACCAUCGUUAUUAUCGAUGGCGUGACGCAGGAGGAUAGUGUGUGCUAGCUAUUGGAUGCUAGUCUAAGCGUUUAGGCAGUGAGAGUAGGCAAAUCCGCUCUCAUAAUGCUGAGGCGUGAUGGGGAAGGUUCUACGGAACCGAAGUACAUGAUUCCACGCUGCCAAGAAAAGCGUCUAGAGAGAGAAGUAGUGCCCGUACCGCAAACCGACACAGGUAGGUGAGGAGAGAAUCCUAAGGCCGGCGGAAGAAUUACAGUUAAGGAACUCGGCAAAUUGACCCCGUAAGUUCGCGAGAAGGGGUGCCUACGAGAGUAGGCCGCAGAGAAUAGGCCCAAGCAACUGUUUAGCAAAAACACAGGUCUCUGCUAAAGCGUAAGCUGAUGUAUAGGGGCUGACGCCUGCCCGGUGCUGGAAGGUUAAGGGGAACACUUAGCGCAAGCGAAGGUGUGAACUUAAGCCCCAGUAAACGGCGGCCGUAACUAUAACGGUCCUAAGGUAGCGAAAUUCCUUGUCAGGUAAGUUCUGACCCGCACGAAUGGCGUAAUGACUUGGGCACUGUCUCAACUGUAAAUCCGGCGAAGUUGUAGUGCGAGUGAAGAUGCUCGCUACCCGCGAUUGGACGGAAAGACCCCGUAGAGCUUUACUGUAGCUUAGCAUUGAGUUUUGGUAUUGUCUGUACAGGAUAGGUGGGAGACUAGGAAACCAGGGCGUCAGCCUUGGUGGAGUCAACCUUGGGAUACCACCCUGACAGUACUGAAAUUCUAACUGGCGGCCAUGAAUCUGGUCACAGGACAUUGUUAGGUGGGCAGUUUGACUGGGGCGGUCGCCUCCUAAAAAGUAACGGAGGCGCCCAAAGGUUCCCUCAGAACGGUCGGAAAUCGUUCGAAGAGUGCAAAGGCAGAAGGGAGCCUGACUGCGACACCCACAAGUGGAGCAGGGACGAAAGUCGGGCUUAGUGAUCCGGUGGUACCUCGUGGGAGGGCCAUCGCUCAACGGAUAAAAGCUACCUCGGGGAUAACAGGCUGAUCUCCCCCAAGAGUCCACAUCGACGGGGAGGUUUGGCACCUCGAUGUCGGCUCGUCGCAUCCUGGGGCUGAAGUAGGUCCCAAGGGUUGGGCUGUUCGCCCAUUAAAGCGGCACGCGAGCUGGGUUCAGAACGUCGUGAGACAGUUCGGUCCCUAUCCGUCGCGGGCGUAGGAAAUUUGAGAGGAGCUGUCCUUAGUACGAGAGGACCGGGAUGGACUGACCUCUGGUGUACCAGUUGUUCCGCCAGGAGCACAGCUGGGUAGCUAAGUCGGGAAUGGAUAAACGCUGAAAGCAUCUAAGCGUGAAGCCAACCUCAAGAUGAGAUUUCCCAUAGCGUAAGCUAGUAAGAUCCCUUGAAGAACACAAGGUUGAUAGGUCGGGGGUGUAAGCAUGGUAACAUGUUCAGCUGACCGAUACUAAUAGAUCG
rnacentral:rRNA from 1 species